UCCUCGGUAGCUCAGUGGCAGAGCAAUCGGCUGUUAACCGAUUGGUCGCUGGUUCGAAUCCAGCCCGGGGAG
rnacentral:tRNA from 1 species